rnacentral:rRNA from 1 species
GAUGAACGCUGGCUGCGUGCCUAAUACAUGCAAGUCGAGCGAACAGACGAGGAUCUUGCUCCUCUUACGUUAGCGGCUGAUGGGUGAGUAACACGUGGAUAACCUACCUAUAAGACUGGUAUCACUUCGGGAAACCGGAUCUAAUACCGGAUAAUGUAUUGAACCGCAUCGUUCAUUAGUGACAGACGCUUUUGUUUUCACUGAUAGAUGGAUCCUCGCCGCAUUAUCUAGUUGGUAAUUUAACGGCUUACCAACUCAACGAUGCGUAGCCGACCUGAGAGGGUGAUACUCCACACUUGAACUGAGGCACGGUCCAGACUCCUACGGGAGGCAGACGUAGGGAAUCUUCCGCUAUAGGCGAAAGCCUAACGGAGCAACGUCGCGUGAGUGAUGCAGGUCUUGGGAUAGUAAAACUCUGUUAUUAGGGAAGACCAAAUAUGUAAGUAACUAUGCACGUCUUGACGGUACCUAAACAGAGAGCCACGGCUAAGUACGUG